rnacentral:rRNA from 1 species
UACGGAGGAUGCGAGCGUUAUCCGGAUUUAUUGGGUUUAAAGGGUGCGUAGGCGGGCUUUUAAGUCAGCGGUAAAAAUUCGGGGCUCAACCCCGUCCGGCCGUUGAAACUGGGGGUCUUGAGUGGGCGAGAAGAAGGCGGAAUGCGCAGUGUAGCGGUGAAAUGCAUAGAUAUCACGCAGAACCCCGAUUGCGAAGGCAGCCUUCCGGCGCCCUACUGACGCUGAGGCACGAAAGUGCGGGGAUCGAACAGG